rnacentral:lncRNA from 1 species
CUUUGGGGCAUCAGUGUUGUGAACACAGAGCUGGUGUAAAAGCUGCUUUUGUAUUCAGUGUGAGAUGGUGUUUACAGAUGAUUUUGACCACAGUGGAAGUAUAUUAAAUGGUGUCUGUGUAUUUGAGCUAUUUAAUUUGUGUUAUGUUUAUAUGAAGAAAUAUUUAUACAUACUUCACCAAAUGUUUAUUUAAUGUUGAUAAAUAUUACUCUUCAGUCUUCAGCUGUGGUGUCCUCUUAAAGUGAUUCCUAAAGGUCCACUUUAACAAUGGAUACAAUAUAUCUAGCUUUCAUGUUGCUAAGAAAAAAAGUCAUUCUGUUGGCAUCAGUGAAUAUUUAACUCUUUGUCUGGUAAUUAAAAAAAAAUAACGAUAAUUUUAACAUAAGGCAGUUUAGCCACGAUUUUGUUGCACUUGAUAAGAACAAAACAAGAGAAACCAAUACAAUUGACAGUUAUUUUGUUGACCUUGUUCAACCAAAGAAUUAGGAAAAUAUGAAGUUUUCUAAGUUGAGUGGAAAAUGACAGGUCUCUCUACACUCUAAAACCAAGUGGCAACCAGAUCUCAUCGUAGUUCUAACACUAACUGGUUAAUCUUGACAAUUCAUUUUUCUCAUCUAUAAAAUGAGGGUGUUGAACUAGAUUAUCUCUAAGGUCCUUUCUGUUCUAAAAGCCUAUGAUUUAUGUUUCAGCUGAAACAUUUAAAAAAAAUUAUUCAAGUUGAACUGGAAAAAAAGUAUUUUUACAAAGUUAAUGUCUCCCAUUACAAAUCAUUGCUACCCAAUACUUCUAGAAGUUGCAAAAUCUUUUCCUUAUUCUGGUUUACCAUACUACCGUCUUCCUAAAACUGUUAUUUGGUAUGCUUUAUUUAUUUAUUUAUUUUAGAUUAGAGAAAAUUAAACUUACUUUGAGAUUUGGAGGCACCCUGGGUAUGAAAACAAAACAAAACAGGGUCAAUAAUCACUGUUCCUCAUAGAGAAAAUUAUCUCUUGAUUCAUGUCUUUAUAUAAUUCUGAUAAGUGCAGAGGAAAGGGGAAAAAAUGAAACUACAGAGAAUCUAGCCCUCCUCCAUUAUAAUUCAUUUUUAACUACAGAUUUUUUUAAAGUUAUGAACUCUUAACAGUUACUUUUAAAAAUUACUUGUUGACAUUGUUUACAGGAUAGGGACAGCAAACCUUGGAUCACUUUCAGAGAAGAAAAAUACAAACAAACAAAUGAGAUUUUAGUGUAAAAAAGAUUUGAAAAUAUAAUACAAUGUAGUGAAUGUUUAUAAAAGGCAUUUCAUAACAUUACACAUUCACAUCAUAAUAGGUUCACCACAAAUAAGGUAAUUUAAUAUAUCAAGUACAAAUAUCCUUUUGUUCAAAUUGGGAACUAAAAGAUUUUAUUAUGUGCAAGUCAGGUAAAAUGUAUGUUCUGUGAUUAUUCUUUUGGAAAAGAGCAAAAAAACAAACAAACCUCAAAUAGGUAAAAUACAUAUAAACCCAUACUGUAUUAUCCUAUCAUAUGCUAUCUGUCACAUGCCAUCUCAUACUGCUGUAUCUACACACAUUUAUGCCCAUUCAUUCUGUUUUCUGCUUUUCUUCCCAUGAUCUUUCCUUUGGUCACUAUUUAAGUUUCCUUGUUUAUACCCUCUUUUCCUUGUCUUCCCUUGCUAAAUAUGUUUUAAUUCUAUCCACCCCGUUACCUGGUAGCUCUAGAAUUGUGGCAAAAUAUGAAGCAACAAAAUAGUCAUAAAUGCUAAGAAGCUACCUGCCUCUAGUCUAAAAUGUUAUAAAGCUUUAGUGGGAUUUCUUUUUUAACUCUUUCAGUGCUUCCAGAUGGAUUAGUCUCAGUUAAUUGGGGUUAAAGAAAGCAUAUUCAGGGAGAAACUUCUCUACUUAUUAAGCAUCAUUAUGGGCACAUUCAUUACUUCAUUUAAAUAUUUAUUUGGUACUGAUUAUAUGCAUAGCUCUGUGCUCUGCUGCUACAGAAAUCAGCAGUCAUUUAGAAAGCAAAGGAAGUAAGACUAAAAAAUCUGGGUUCAUUAAUCUAAUGAAUCUUUCAAGAAUAGUGUUCAAUUACACAGUGAAGGAUACAUACUGAUAGGGAAGACAAAUCCAUAAUCACUUACAACUUGGAAAAUUCCAAAGCCAUACUGUUUAUAACUACUUCAGUUUUCCACCAAACCUUUUAGCAGAGCUACCAACAGGUACAAAUCUAUCUGUUAGAGAUUCCCAUUUAUCUCCUUCUCAAAGCUAAGUUAAUCUACAAACUGCAUUGAUAAAUAUACAUAGAUAAUCUAGAGUUUCCUACAUGUAUGUUAGAAUUAUUGACUUGACUCUAAUCAUCAUUGAAUAUAAUUUUGGUUAACUUACAAAACUGAGGAAGAUUCUAACUUUAGCCUGUGAUCCAAAUACUGAAGAGAAAGCCCUCAUAAUCAUCACAUCAUGAUAUAUACUCUUAGUUCUAGAUUAGUAAAUAGAUUUGUUUUAAAAAAGAAAAGAGAAACAACCUUUGUGGAAACCUGUUUUUGCCUGUUCUUAGAGACAUAUGAUGCCAACUUUUUUUUUUUUAGCAGUAUCAUCUUUUUUUCUUACACAUUGAAAGCUUCACUAAGUUUGGGGGCAGGCUUGAGGGGAAUCUUAUGGAAAAUAGAAGUAAAAAUGUGCCGCUUAGUUGUAGCACAAAUCACAAAUGGGCUUCCGAGAUAGUGAAACCAGAGCAUUAUUUCACUGGGCAGGAAGCUUGGAUAGAUAAACAAAUAUUAAGAGACUUAGGAUGAUUGCAUCCUAUUCUAUAGGGGUUUACAAAUAUGAAUUAAUCACUGUCCACAUAAGUUGAGUGUAUUAUUUGCUUUGUAAGCAAAGAACAUGUAUCAUAGCUGUAUUAAAAUAUUGUCCAAGCCUUAGAGAAAGGUGCCAAAUUUUACCUUUUUACUACUUAAUGACCAGGCAUUUCUUCCAGAGACAAAUGGGGGGGGGGGGUUUCAAAUAUCAUUUUCAUUUUUUUUUUCCUGAAAACUAGUCAAUGGUCUGUAUGAUAAAAUUAUGCCUGCAACUUUGUGGUAAAUAUUACUUCCUUGACUAAGUUAAACAACAUAAAUAGCUAAAUAAAUAAAAUCCACUACAAAAUAAAGAUUGUGUCCUUUCAUUUUCAUCUAAGGUCUAAGACAUAACAUAAGACAUAUGAAAAAGCUUUUCUUUUUAUAUGUAAGCAGAUUGCAUUGCAGGUUUGAAGAAGAAUUGGAAUAAAUAUAAUGGAAUGAAAAUGAUAAUACAUUCUGAAAUAUGGUGCCAUAUCCAAUAAACUGUGCCUUUUUUCCACACAAAAAAAUAUGAUUUUCUCCAACAUUUGGAAAGACUGAAUUAUCAUGUUUAUUCAUUAAGUAUGGGU